rnacentral:rRNA from 1 species
UACGAAGGGAGCUAGCGUUGUUCGGAAUCACUGGGCGUAAAGGGUGCGCAGGCGGCCGUGUGUGUGAGGCGUGAAAGCCCGGGGCUUAACCCCGGAAUUGCACCUCAAACUACACGGCUAGAGCAUUGGAGAGGUAGCAGAAUUCACGGUGUAGCAGUGAAAUGCGUAGAUAUCGUGAGGAAUACCAGAGGCGAAGGCGGCUACCUGGACAAUUGCUGACGCUCAGGCACGAAAGCGUGGGGAGCAAAAGGG